rnacentral:rRNA from 1 species
GAUGAACGCUGGCGGCGUGCCUAAUACAUGCAAGUCGAGCGAACGGACGAGAAGCUUGCUUCUCUGAUGUUAGCGGCGGACGGGUGAGUAACACGUGGAUAACCUACCUAUAAGACUGGGAUAACUUCGGGAAACCGGAGCUAAUACCGGAUAAUAUUUUGAACCGCAUGGUUCAAAAGUGAAAGACGGUCUUGCUGUCACUUAUAGAUGGAUCCGCGCUGCAUUAGCUAGUUGGUAAGGUAACGGCUUACCAAGGCAACGAUGCAUAGCCGACCUGAGAGGGUGAUCGGCCACACUGGAACGGAGACACGGUCCAUACUCCUACGGGAGGCAGCAGUAGGGAAUCUUCCGCAAUGGGCGAAAGCCUGACGGAGCAACGCCGCGUGAGUGAUGAAGGUCUUCGGAUCGUAAAACUCUGUUAUUAGGGAAGAACAUAUGUGUAAGUAACUGUGCACAUCUUGACGGUACCUAAUCAGAAAGCCACGGCUAACUACGUG